rnacentral:rRNA from 1 species
GGAGGGUGCAAGCGUUGCUCGGAAUUACUGGGCGUAAAGCGCGUGUAGGCGGUUUCGUGUGUCUGAUGUGAAAUCCCCGGGCUCAACCCGGGAAGUGCAUUGGAAACUGCGAGACUAGAGUCCCGGANAGGAAGGUGGAAUUCCAGGUGUAGCGGUGAAAUGCGUAGAUAUCUGGAAGAACACCGGUGGCGAAGGCGGCCUUCUGGACGGUGACUGACGCUGAGACGCGAAAGCGUGGGGAGCAAACAGGAUUAGAUACCCUGGUAGUCCACGCCAUAAACGAUGGGCACUAGGUGUCGCGGGUAUUGACCCCUGCGGUGCCACAGCUAACGCAUUAAGUGCCCCGCCUGGGGAUUACGGCCGCAAGGUUA